rnacentral:rRNA from 1 species
GAUGAACGCUGGCGGCGUGCCUAAUACAUGCAAGUCGAGCGAACAGACGAGGAGCUUGCUCCUCUGACGUUAGCGGCGGACGGGUGAGUAACACGUGGAUAACCUACCUAUAAGACUGGGAUAACUUCGGGAAACCGGAGCUAAUACCGGAUAAUAUAUUGAACCGCAUGGUUCAAUAGUGAAAGACGGUUUUGCUGUCACUUAUAGAUGGAUACGAGCCGCAUUAGCUAGUUGUUAAGGUAACGGCUUACCAAGGCAACGAUGCGUAGCCGACCUGAGAGGGUGGUCGGCCACACUGGAACUGAGACACGGUCCAGACUCCUACGGGAGGCAGCAGUAGGCAAUCUUCCGCAAUGGGCGAAAGCUUGACGGAGCAACGCCGCGUGAGUUAUGAAGGUCUUCGGAUCGUAAAACCCUGUUAUUAGGGAAGAACAAAUGUGUAAGUAACUAUGCACGUCUUGACGGUACCUAAUCAGAAAGCCACGGCUAACUACGUG